rnacentral:rRNA from 1 species
AUUGAACGCUGGCGGCAUGCCUUACACAUGCAAGUCGAACGGUAACGGGCCUUCGGGUGCCGCCGAGUGGCGCACGGGUGAGUAAUACAUCGGAACGUUCCCGAUCGUGGGGGAUAACGAGGCGAAAGCUUUGCUAAUACCGCAUACGAUCUACGGAUGACAGCAGGGGACCGCAAGGCCUUGCGCGGACGGAGCGGCCGAUGGCAGAUUAGGUAGUUGGUGGGAUAAAAGCUUACCAAGCCGACGAUCUGUAGCUGGUCUGAGAGGAUGAUCAGCCACACUGGGACUGAGACACGGCCCAGACUCCUACGGGAGGCAGCAGUGGGGAAUUUUGGACAAUGGGCGCAAGCCUGAUCCAGCCAUGCCGCGUGCAGGAUGAAGGCCUUCGGGUUGUAAACUGCUUUUGUACGGAACGAAAAGCCUUCUUUUAAUACAGGAGGGUCAUGACGGUACCGUAAGAAUAAGCACCGGCUAACUACGUG